rnacentral:rRNA from 1 species
UGGGGAAUAUUGCACAAUGGGCGCAAGCCUGAUGCAGCCAUGCCGCGUGUGUGAAGAAGGCCUUCGGGUUGUAAAGCACUUUCAGUCGGGAGGAAGGUGGUAAGGUUAAUAACCUUGGCAAUUGACGUUACCGACAGAAGAAGCACCGGCUAACUCCGUGCCAGCAGCCGCGGUAAUACGGAGGGUGCAAGCGUUAAUCGGAAUUACUGGGCGUAAAGCGCACGCAGGCGGUUGAUUGAGUCAGAUGUGAAAUCCCCGGGCUCAACCUGGGAACUGCAUUCGAAACUGGCAGGCUAGAGUCUUGUAGAGGGGGGUAGAAUUCCAGGUGUAGCGGUGAAAUGCGUAGAGAUCUGGAGGAAUACCGGUGGCGAAGGCGGCCCCCUGGACAAAGACUGACGCUCAGGUGCGAAAGCGUGGGGAGCAAACAGG